rnacentral:rRNA from 1 species
AAGUCUGACGGAGCACGCCGCGUGAGUGAAGAAGGUUUUCGGAUCGUAAAACUCUGUUGUCAGAGAAGAACAAGUUGGAGAGUAACUGCUCCAGCCUUGACGGUAUCUGACCAGAAAGCCACGGCUAACUACGUGCCAGCAGCCGCGGUAAUACGUAGGUGGCAAGCGUUGUCCGGAUUUAUUGGGCGUAAAGCGAGCGCAGGCGGUUCCUUAAGUCUGAUGUGAAAGCCCACGGCUCAACCGUGGAAGGUCAUUGGAAACUGGGGAACUUGAGUGCAGAAGAGGAGAGUGGAAUUCCAUGUGUAGCGGUGAAAUGCGUAGAUAUAUGGAGGAACACCAGUGGCGAAGGCGACUCUCUGGUCUGUAACUGACGCUGAGGCUCGAAAGCGUGGGGAGCAAACAGGAUUAGAUACCCUGGUAGUCCACGCCGUAAACGAUGAGUGCUAAGUGUUGGAGGGUUUCCACCCUUCAGUGCUGCAGCUAACGCAUUAAGCACUCCGCCUGGGGAGUACGGCCGCAAGGCUGA